rnacentral:lncRNA from 1 species
UAAAACCCGCCUCUCUCUCUCUCUAACCCCUCGUCUCUGAGUUCUCUCUAGAAUCUUCAAUCGUCUCUCUUCUCCAAAUGGCUUUCACUGCCGUUCCGGCUACAUCCACCCUCACUCUUUUCGACCACCACUCACCAUGGUACCGUAUCUCAUUACUUCUCUCUCAAACUCGAAGCCCAGAAGAUUCCGCCAUGAAAGAUGGUUGAUUGAAGGUCGCCUGAGUCUUUGUCGACUUCUCUCCGGUGGGUUUUACGUGAU